GCUGUGGUGGCUCAGCAGUUAAGCACUCAGCUGCUAACAGAAAUGUUGGUGUUUCAAACCCACCCAGCAGCU
rnacentral:tRNA from 1 species